AGACCUCGUUCAAUAUAUAACAAACACCUCGUGCACCUCUACGUGAAAGGAAGUUGUAACAGGCUUCCGUUCCGUAUUUUUUCUUAUAAAUGCCUUCUGUCGUUUAACGCGUGUUAUUUUGAUAUAAUAUGAAACACAACUUUCAACAACGGAUCUCUUGGCUUUCGCAUCGAUGAAGAACGCCGCGAAAGCGCGAAACGUAAUGUGAAUUGCAGAAUUCAGUGAAUCAUCGAAUCUUUGAACGCAUCUUGCGCUCCUUGGUAUUCCGAGGAGCAUGCCUGUUUGAGUGUCGUGAAGUCUCUCGGACCCCUCUGUCUUUUUGGCGGAAGGUUUCGGAUCUGGACGCCUGCCGCCUUCUCUUCUCGAAAGCGGCUCGUCUUUAAAUGCAUUAGCAAAAGCGGUCUCCCGCUCUCCAGACGCGAUUAAACCUCUGUGUCCGGACGGGAAAUUUAAGACCGUUUGGCUGCCAACCGUCUUCGCGGACAAGAAGCUUUGCGCUUCUUAACAUCACUCUCUCUGAC
rnacentral:rRNA from 1 species